UACGAAGGGGGCUAGCGUUGCUCGGAAUUACUGGGCGUAAAGCGCGCGUAGGCGGCUUUGUAAGUUAGAGGUGAAAGCCCGGGGCUCAACCCCGGAAUUGCCUUUAAGACUGCAUCGCUUGAAUCCGGGAGAGGUGAGUGGAAUUCCGAGUGUAGAGGUGAAAUUCGUAGAUAUUCGGAAGAACACCAGUGGCGAAGGCGGCUCACUGGACCGGCAUUGACGCUGAGGUGCGAAAGCGUGGGGGAGCAAACAGG
rnacentral:rRNA from 1 species